CUGAAAACCCUUUUGGGUUAAUUUUUCCUCCUUUUUUAUAACCUGUGAUGAGCUCUCAUUAGUUAGGUGAACCUUGAGGCUUUAACAUGUGUGGAUAAGUUUGAUUGUAUAGAAAUGUUUUUCUUGCUUUAUCACAAGCAUGCCGCCCCAUCGCAGUGAGAACACGAGCCGAUGCAGAGACUGUAGUGGCAAAGGGAAACAGGAUGGGUGGGGCAAGCAGCAGCAGUAGAAAGAAACAUAAGGCGUAUAUGGGGAAGAGAAAAAGCAAGCUCAAGAGGUGGGUGGGUGGAUCCAGAUGGCUCUUUUACUCCAUUAUUGUGAUUCUCUGCAUUAACCUCCUGGUACAGAUUUGCAUACAGCCAUCCUUGCAAAUGGAAUCAACUUGUAUUCAGCUACGAAUGCAUUAAAAAGAUCAUUUUCAGGACAAUGAACUUACAAUGAGCUACUUGGUUGCAAACACAGCAAUGGACCAGCUGAGUGUGUGCAGAGCAGUGGGGGGGGGGGGAGAAUAAUGGGGUCAAUGUCUAGUUUUUGAGGCUACUUAUGUAUUUUCAUUAUGCACAGGGAAUGAGCCGAUGGCAAUAUUUAGUAUGUAAGAUAGUCAAUUGUUCAUUUCAGGCUUACUUAACAUUGCUCACUUAAAUUCAAUUUGUAGCUUAAAAAUAAAACCGAAUUUUUAUUUUA